rnacentral:rRNA from 1 species
GAACGCUGGCGGCAUGCCUUACACAUGCAAGUCGAACGGCAGCACGGGUGCUUGCACCUGGUGGCGAGUGGCGAACGGGUGAGUAAUACAUCGGAACGUACCUUAUCGUGGGGGAUAACGCAGCGAAAGCUGUGCUAAUACCGCAUACGCCCUGAGGGGGAAAGCGGGGGAUCGAAAGACCUCGCGCGAUUAGAGCGGCCGAUGCCUGAUUAGCUUGUUGGUGGGGUAAAAAGCCCACCAAGGCGACGAUCAGUAGCUGGUCUGAGAGGACGAUCAGCCACACUGGGACUGAGGACACGGCCCAGACUCCUACGGGAGGCAGCAGUGGGGAAUUUUGGACAAUGGGCGAAAGCCUGAUCCAGCCAUGCCGCGUGCAGGAUGAAGGCCUUCGGGUUGUAAACUGCUUUUGUACGGAACGAAAAGACUCUGGUUAAUACCUGGGGUCCAUGACGGUACCGUAAGAAUAAGCACCGGCUAACUACGUG